UGGNGAUUUGGGCAAUGGGCGAAGCCUGACCCAGCGAUGCCGCGUGAGGGAUGAAGGCCUUCGGGUUGUAAACCUCUGUCAAGCUGGGACACUUGUGUCUUGACGGUACCUCCAGAGGAAGCCCCGGCUAACUCCGUGCCAGCAGCCGCGGUAAUACGGAGGGGGCAAGCGUUGCUCGGAAUUACUGGGCGUAAAGGGUCCGCAGGCUGUCAGGCAAGUUGGUUGUGAAAGCUCAAGGCUUAACCUUGGAAUUGCAUCCAAAACUGCCUGACUAGAGUCCAAAAGAGGUUGGCGGAAUUCCCGGUGUAGCGGUGAAAUGCAUAGAUAUCGGGAGGAACACCAGAGCGAAGGCGGCCAACUGGCUUGGAACUGACGCUCAGGGACGAAAGCGUGGGUAGCAAACCGGAUUAGAUACCCGGGUAGUCCNCGCCCUAAACGAUGGAUGCUAGGUAGGGGGAAUUUAUUUCUCCCUGCCGAGUUAACGCAUUAAGCAUCCCGCCGGGGAGACG
rnacentral:rRNA from 1 species